rnacentral:rRNA from 1 species
GAUGAACGCUGGCGGCGUGCUUAACACAUGCAAGUCGAACGAUGAAGCCCAGCUUGCUGGGUGGAUUAGUGGCGAACGGGUGAGUAACACGUGAGUAACCUGCCCUUAACUCUGGGAUAAGCCUGGGAAACUGGGUCUAAUACCGGAUAGGAGCGCCUACCGCAUGGUGGGUGUUGGAAAGAUUUAUCGGUUUUGGAUGGACUCGCGGCCUAUCAGCUUGUUGGUGAGGUAAUGGCUCACCAAGGCGACGACGGGUAGCCGGCCUGAGAGGGUGACCGGCCACACUGGGACUGAGACACGGCCCAGACUCCUACGGGAGGCAGCAGUGGGGAAUAUUGCACAAUGGGCGAAAGCCUGAUGCAGCGACGCCGCGUGAGGGAUGACGGCCUUCGGGUUGUAAACCUCUUUCAGUAGGGAAGAAGCGAAAGUGACGGUACCUGCAGAAGUAGCACCGGCUAACUACGCG